GGUUACGUACUUUAUUUAAAAGAUCUAACUUGCACUUAGAAAUAGGGUAUACACCCCCGCAACCC
rnacentral:tRNA from 1 species